rnacentral:rRNA from 1 species
GACGAACGCUGGCGGCGUGCUUAACACAUGCAAGUCGAACGGAAAGGCCCUGCUUUUGUGGGGUGCUCGAGUGGCGAACGGGUGAGUAACACGUGAGUAACCUGCCCUUGACUUUGGGAUAACUUCAGGAAACUGGGGCUAAUACCGGCUAGGAGCUCCUGCUGCAUGGUGGGGGUUGGAAAGUUUCGGCUGUUGGGGAUGGACUCGCGGCUUAUCAGCUUGGUGGUGGGGUAGUGGCUUACCAAGGCUUUGACGGGUAGCCGGCCUGAGAGGGUGACCGGCCACACUGGGACUGAGAUGCGGCACAGACUCCUACGGGAGGCAGGAGUGGGGAAGAGUGCACAAUGGGAGGAAGCCUGAUGCAGCAACGCCGCGUGCGGGAUGACGGCCUUCGGGUUGUAAACCGCUUUCGCCUGUGACGAAGCGUGAGUGACGGUAAUGGGUAAAUAAGCACCGGCUAACUACGUG